AUAUAUAAAUACCAGCCUGGCCACCAUGGUGAAUCCUCAUCUCUACUAAAAAUACAAAAAUUAGCUGGGUGUGGUGGCAGGUGCCUGUAGUCCCAGCUACCCAGUAGACUGAGGCACGAGAAACGCUUGGACAGGGGAGAUCUCUAGUUCAGUGAGCCGAGAUCGCACCACUGGACUCCAGCCUCAGUGACAGAGUGAGAUGCCAUCUCAAAGAAAAAAAAAAAUUAUGUUUUAUAGGUAUGUGGUGAGAGGAAUGAAAAAAUUUCAUUUAUGAAAUUUAUAUUGAAAUGUUUAACAGUAAAUACUAAUAGCUAUAAUACACAAAAAAAGCUCUUUGGUGUCCUCAUUAUGUUGGAGGUGUGUAAAGAGGUUUCACCAAGCAAACCAACUGAAAACAAACUCCCAAACCCCCUGCCCCAAACCU
rnacentral:lncRNA from 10 species